rnacentral:lncRNA from 1 species
CCAGAUCACUGCUGAUAGAGUGUUUCUUCAUCCAUCUCUGUCAGAUUUACCAUCUCGUGGACACACACUGAUUUUCAGUUUGGCUUUGUCAUGGAGAAGAGGUUGCACUCACUGACAGUGUGCUUAUGUACGGUUCUCUGGUGGUCCCCUCCUGAAAAUGGCUUAUCUCCGGACAAAUUCAGGAAAAUCUGGCUGAGAGAAGAUGGUCUCCCAGCCGUUUUUAUGGAAAUGGGCAGUUGGGUAAAGGAGGAAAACCCAGUCUGGCGGUUUCAGAGAAAAAGACUAACACCAGCUCAAUCCUGUGAAUCAGACAUAGAGGCUUGACAAAUGAAAACUGUGCUCUUCAGCUGGCUCUGCUGGGCGUGCAACCUGAGAGACUUUCUUGGCACUGGAGAGUGAACAAGCCUGGUGUGUGAUACAAGGACCAUGCAAAGAGGAUGAGGAAAUAAUCACACGUAUCACAUUGAACAGCCAUCCAACCCAUCAAGUGUCUUGAUUCUGUUGAGUGCUUCAUUGGUGCAAUUGGAGAAGUCCAUUUUAAGGAGAGAUUAGGAGGAGUAGCUAUGCAGUUAACCUCACAGGAUGCUCCUUACCUGAGAACUGGAUGCUUGAGAGGGAAACUGAAUCAAUGAACCAUAAAGAUGUUAUCAAAAGUACUGGAAAGGCAGAAGCUCCUAUAGCAACACUGUAGUUAAGGUAAAAGAUGAUGUAAGACAACAAUUGUCAAUGCUAGCACAAUAGUUGUGUUCAAACUGUUGACAGUUGUGAGGAAUGCAGAGAAGGAAAGCACAAGAGCAGGUGGUCACAUGGGCCAAGGACACCUGUGCACUGCUAUACAAUGGUAGAGGGAAAAUAGAAAAUUAUAUCUGUUGAAGGAACUUACAUUAAUCUAAAUUAUGUAAAACUUGACUGGAGCUUGGUUUGAAGGACAGUAAGGGAAGGUCAAGAUUCAGAGACGUUGGUAGGAAUAUUAAUCAAGGGAGGACAGUGGAAGAAAAUGUUCAGAGCCUGAGAAAGCAGAAGCUUGCUCUGAGCUAUGCUGAAUUAAAGCUGUAUGUUAAAACCAGCAUAAGGUAUUUUGCAAACAAGUACAGAGACAGAAUCUGAGUGAAGAGUGAUAUUCUGUGCUGUCACAGUGUAGGUGAUAGAUGAAGCCAUCUUCUUGGAGUCAUGAGGGAAGGGAUAGGUAAGGGAAAGAGGGUAAAAGAGACAAGUCUAAAAAGACUGAAAAAAGUAAAGCCUGGAGAGUGUGGCUGCACGUGUCAGAGGCAGCUGAGACUGAAGAGGAUGAGAAAAAUCCUUGGGCCAUAAAUUGAACAAGCUGGAUAGAAAGCCUUCAGAGAGCAGGCACAGGUGUCAUGUCCCAGGGAGGAGGUUAGCUGGAAUAUCUUCUGCCAUCAACAGGAGGUAUUCAGCAAGGUGGGAUAUCGGCUCAUGUUGCAGCUGCAACUAGUACUAGUUUGGUACUAGAUAUUCAUCUCUUAUCAGAGUUUUGUGGUCUGUUCCCAGGGGACAGGCAUGUUUGUCAGAAGUACAAUAAUAGCUGACUAAAGUAGAUUUGCUCUGAGGUUAUCAUUACUUCUCCACAGAUGAUCAUAAAUAAAUAUUUCAGUAGAAGUCUUAACUCCCCCUCU